GAUGAAGAACGUAGCGAAAUGCGAUAAGUAAUGUGAAUUGCAGAAUUCAGUGAAUCAUCGAAUCUUUGAACGCACAUUGCGCCCGCCAGUAUUCUGGCGGGCAUGCCUGUUCGAGCGUCAUUUCAACCAUCAAGCCCCCGGGCUUGUGUUGGGGACCUGCGGCUGCCGCAGGCCCUGAAAAGCAGUGGCGGGCUCGCUGUCACACCGAGCGUAUUAGAUUUUAUCUCGCUCUGGGCGUGCUGCGGGUUCCGGCCGUUAAACCACCCUUUUAACCCAAGGUUGACCUCGGAUCAGGUAGGAAGACCCGCUGAACUUAAGCAUAUCAAUAAGCAGAGGA
rnacentral:misc_RNA from 1 species